rnacentral:rRNA from 1 species
UGGGGAAUAUUGCACAAUGGGCGCAAGCCUGAUGCAGCCAUGCCGCGUGUAUGAAGAAGGCCUUCGGGUUGUAAAGUACUUUCAGCGAGGAGGAAGGCGUUGUGGUUAAUAACCGCAACGAUUGACGUUACUCGCAGAAGAAGCACCGGCUAACUCCGUGCCAGCAGCCGCGGUAAUACGGAGGGUGCAAGCGUUAAUCGGAAUUACUGGGCGUAAAGCGCACGCAGGCGGUCUGUCAAGUCGGAUGUGAAAUCCCCGGGCUCAACCUGGGAACUGCAUCCGAAACUGGCAGGCUAGAGUCUUGUAGAGGGGGGUAGAAUUCCAGGUGUAGCGGUGAAAUGCGUAGAGAUCUGGAGGAAUACCGGUGGCGAAGGCGGCCACCUGGACAAAGACUGACGCUCAGGUGCGAAAGCGUGGGGAGCAAACA